UGAUGACGAGACGCUAAGGCGUUGAAGUGGUGUAUGUCAGACUUCCAAGAAAAGCUCGCAAUGUCAUAGAUAAAAAAUGCCUGUACCAUAACCGACACAGGUGGGUAGGUAGAGUAUACUAAGGGGCGCGAGAUAACUCUCUCUAAGGAACUCGGCAAAAUGACUCCGUAACUUCGGGAGAAGGAGUGCCUUAUUUAUAAGGUUGCAAUAACAAGAUCCAAGCAACUGUUUAUCAAAAACACAGGUCUCCGCUAAGUCGUAAGACGAUGUAUGGGGGCUGACGCCUGCCCAGUGCCAGAAGGUUAAAGAAGUUGGUUAGUGUAAGCGAAGCUGAUAGCUGAAGCCCUGGUGAACGGCGGCCGUAACGAUAACGGUCCUAAGGUAGCGAAAUUCCUUGUCGGGUAAGUUCCGACCCGCACGAAAGGCGUAAUGAUUUGGAUACUGUCUCGGAGAGAGGCUCGGUGAAAUAGACUUGUCUGUGAAGAUGCGGACUACCUGCACCAGGACAGAAAGACCCUAUGAAGCUUUACUGUAACUUGAAAUUGGAAUUGGACUUUGCUUGCGCAGUAUAGGUGGGAAGCGUUGAAGAUACUCUUGCGGGACUAUUGGAGCUAUCAGUGAGAUACCACUCUUGUAAUGUUAGAUUUCUAACUUUGAACCAUAAUCUGGUCAAAGAACAGUUUCAGGCGGGCAGUUUGACUGGGGCGGUCGCCUCCUAAAUGGUAACGGAGGCGUACAAAGGUUUCCUCUGAACGGAUAGAAAUCGUAUCUAGAGUGUAAAGGCAUAAGGAAGCUUGACUGUGAGACCUACAAGUCGAGCAGGGACGAAAGUCGGUCUUAGUGAUCUGACGGUACUGAGUGGAAAGGCCGUCACUCAACGGAUAAAAGUUACUCUAAGGAUAACAGGCUGAUCUCCCCCAAGAGUUCACAUCGACGGGGAGGUUUGGCACCUCGAUGUCGGCUCAUCGCAUCCUGGGGCGGUAGUACGUCCCAAGGGUUGGGCUGUUCGCCCAUGAAAGCGGUACGCGAGCUGGGUUCAGAACGUCGUGAGACAGUUCGGUCCAUAUCCGGUGUAGGCGUUAGAAUAUUGAGAGGAGCCUUCUUUAGUACGAGAGGACCGAGAAGGACACACCGCUGGUGUACCAGUUAUCGUGCCAACGGUAAACGCUGGGUAGCUAUGUGUGGAGAGGAUAACCGCUGAAAGCAUCUAAGUGGGAAGCCCACCUCAAGAUGAGUAUUCUCAUC
rnacentral:rRNA from 1 species